UACGUAGGGUGCAAGCGUUGUCCGGAAUUAUUGGGCGUAAAGAGCUCGUAGGCGGUUCGUCGCGUCGGCUGUGAAAACCCGGAGCUCAACUCCGGGCCUGCAGUCGAUACGGGCGGACUAGAGUUCGGCAGGGGAGACUGGAAUUCCUGGUGUAGCGGUGAAAUGCGCAGAUAUCAGGAGGAACACCGGUGGCGAAGGCGACUUACUGGACACAUAUUGACGCUGAGGUGCGAAAGCGUGGGGAGCAAACAGG
rnacentral:rRNA from 1 species